GCCCAGCUGGGAGCUGAACUGCAACAACGAGCAUGAGACUCAUAAUCUCAAGGUUGUGGGUUCAAGCCCCAGGUUGGGCA